CAGUCGCCGCGGGAAUACGUAGGGUGCGAGCGUUAAUCGGAAUUACUGGGCGUAAAGCGUGCGCAGGCGGUUCGUUAAGACAGAUGUGAAAUCCCCGGGCUCAACCUGGGACCUGCAUUUGUGACUGUAUAGCUAGAGUACGGUAGAGGGGGAUGGAAUUCCGCGUGUAGCAGUGAAAUGCGUAGAUAUGCGGAGGAACACCGAUGGCGUAGGCAAUCCCCUGGACCUGUACUGACGCUCAUGCACGAAAGCGUGGGGAGCAAACAGGAUUAGAUACCCCGGUAGUCCCUGUCUCUUAUAC
rnacentral:rRNA from 1 species